CGAAAGAGGGUACCGAGUGAACUGAAACAUCUAAGUAACUCGAGGAAAAGAAAGUAAAAACGAUUCCCCAAGUAGCGGCGAGCGAACGGGGAUGAGCCUAAACCAUAUAAGUGUCAAGGAUACAGCCGUUGCUUAUAUGGGGUUGUGGGAAGAACGUUUGAAGAACUGUAAGAUAUUCAACAUAUCUAAUGACCGAACUGGAACUAGUUGGAAAGCUAGAUCGUAGAAGGUGAUAAUCCUGUACAGGUAAACUCAUUAGAAUGUAUGUUCUCUCCCAAGUAACAUGGAACACGAGGAAUUCUGUGUGAAUCUGCGAGGACCAUAUCUCGUAAGGCUAAAUACUCUUACUAACCGAUAGCGUAUAGUACCGUGAGGGAAAGGUGAAAAGAACCCCGGGAGGGGAGUGAAAUAGAACCUGAAACUGUGUGCUUACAAGCGGUCAGAGCUCUUCGGAGUGAUGGCGUGCCUUUUGGAGAAUGAUCCUGCGAGUUACGUUCAGUGGCGAGGUUAAGUAUAACGGAGCCGAAGGGAAACCGAGUCUGAAUAGGGCGACAUAGUCGCUGGGCGUAGACGCGAAACCUGGUGAUCUAAGCCUGUCCAGGGUGAAGCUGUGGUAAGACACAGUGGAGGCCCGAACUCACCGCCGUUGAAAAGUUGGGAGAUGAGGUAGGUUUAGGGGUGAAAAGCCAAUCGAACUAGGAGAUAGCUCGUUCUCUCCGAAAUGCAUUUAGGUGCAGCCUUGAGUGUUUAAUUAUGGGGGUAGAGCACUGAAUGAACUAGGGGGCAUAUUGCUUACUGAAUUCAAUCAAACUCCGAAUACCAUAAUUCAAAGCUCAGGAGUGAGACUAUGGGAAUUAACUUCCAUUGUCAAAAGGGAAACAACCCAGACCACCAGCUAAGGUCCCUAAUUAUAACUAAGUGGGAAAGGAGGUGGAGAUUCACAAACAACCAGGAGGUUGGCUUAGAAGCAGCCAUACCUUUAAAGAGUGCGUAAUAGCUCACUGGUCGAGAGUCUCUGCGCCGACAAUGUAACGGGGCUAAGUUAUAAACCGAAGCUGUGGAAUUGCGCAAGCAAUUGGUAGGAGAGCGUUCUGUAGGCCGUUGAAGGAGAAGCGCAAGCAACUCUGGAGGUAUCAGAAGUGAGAAUGCAGGAAUAAGUAGCGAGAAAGGGGGCGAGAAUCCCCCUCGCC
rnacentral:rRNA from 1 species